UGCCCAACGCGACGGCCCCCCGCACCACGACCACUACCUCCAGCUCCCGAUCCCUCCACCCCACCUUCUUCAACCUCCCACCACGCCGCCGGCGCCGACUCCCCGCACCACCCAGCCUUUCCUGCGUCGACCCCGCCCUCCCUGCGUCAUCACUUCGACGGAUCAGGGCCUCUCUCCACUGGAUCCGCCCCUGCCUUCCACCACUCUGACGUCGAGAUGGCCGACGCCUCCACGUUCUCCCACUGCUCGUGCCGGUCCCCAGUGCUCUGCCCCGAUGCCCCACCUUCUUCUUCCUCCCUCCCCUUCCUCCCCAAACCCACCGCCACCACACCCCAACGCCGGAUCCUGGCCUCGGUGGUUGCCGGAUUGGCGCCAGAUCCACGACCCCUCCCCAGCGCACCCCACACUCGAGGGCUCCAGGACGGCCACUCCCAGCAAAGGCGACCAAGAUGGGGAGAGGGAGGCGCUCUUCUCUGGUGAGACCAACGGCGGUCAUGGCUCUGCUUGGGACCCCUCAAGGUCGCCAACCACAAUCCAGCCCCCGCACUGAAUCCAUGGCGGAUGGAUCGAGUACCGGCCUUCUCGGCCUGCCACUAGGGUCCCGAGGCACCGCCGCCGGUGGCCACACCGCCCGCCGCACCAGAGCGCCAGCUGCGGCAAGGCUGCUUCCCUGCGUGUGGUCUGAAAGAGAACAAGGUGCAACUCGCCGGCUUGUGCUCGUGCAGUACGUCGUGCCGGUGUGUACAGCUCACCUCUGCUCCCCUCCCGUGUUGUUCUCCAUUGAUGCAGUGCACGUUGCCUCCCAACGCAGGUCGUAUUGGUCGUCGGUGCAGUCCGCAAACAUGCCGUUUGUGGUGGUGAUCUACUCCACCAUUCGCGCCCGACCAUCACAGCAACCCUCUUCCCUUGGCUCCCUCCUUCCCUACUCUGCAAACUCCCUCCUCCCAGCAACACUACCCUCUUUCUAGUGAAGGGCAUGCUUCUGAGGCCACAGUGGGUCUCCGUCGUGCUCCCUUCCCCUGGUUCUGGUGCUCGAGUGGAAAAUUGCUAUUUUUUCUCUCGCAGUUCGGUUCACAGACUGCUUGUGGUUCAUUUUGUUGUUAUUUUGUGUAGGAGACAAGGACUGCAACAAAAACUUAAGCACUCCCCUGGCUACGACGCGGCUGCCGGAUGCCCCCAUGUCCUGCUUUUCCCCUGCCAAAUCCACUCCGCUUCCCCUGAUAUGAUGUAUGUCCAGUUUAGUUCGCGUGUGCAAGGUUCUACACUACAUCGAGCUCCCAGGAUACCAAAUUGCAAUUCACUUUUAGAUUCAGAAAAAGGGUGCUGUGCAAUUUUCUAGGGAACUGGAAGUUCAUAUAUUUUUUGAAAAAUUCACUGUCUCUUGGAGAGGUUCGCUCCUCACCGUUGUGGUUUACUCUGUUCCCUGUGAACCAAAACAAAAGAGACACAAAAAGAAAAUUUCCCCUGGUAGUAUGGGAGAGAGCGGUUCGCUUCUGUGGGCCUAGAGGUUCACUCCACAAAAUAUGCAGCUCAAUGUGAUGUUGUUUUAAUUCAGUUCCAUUGUUUUGCUGGAGCUUUGUUGUUGUUAAAGAAAUCCACUGUAGUCAUCAACCACAGCUCGGGAAAAACAUUAACAUUUACUAUGCAACAAAAGUUUUCUCGUUCACUUUCCUCGUGAUUCAUUGCAAAAUGUCUUUUUUAAUGCAGCUCACUAUGUUGGCAUGUGGAGUAGAAAAAAAAAUAAACAAAAA
rnacentral:rRNA from 1 species